CGGGACGGCGUGGGGCAUACUGGGACUUGUAGUUUUCCUUCCGAGGGCAUCUGAUUGGUUGCGGGAGUACAGCGCCCUGGGUCGUGGUGACUCCGUGGAGAGGUCUCCAGCCUGAGCGUGGAGGGUACAUGAGCUGUGAUGGUGCCGAAUUUCUGUGCCCCUUCAAUGUGGAACAUGUGGUCAUCAAAGAAAAUGUGGGGCCUUAUCUUUACCAAGAUGGGACCUUUGGGGGCUCCAGCAAGGAAAAGAGCUUCGUCUAUCUCUAGACCCCAGCGGCGAAGGGUUUUCAGCACUCGGGCGCCUGAACUGGCUGCACUCCUGGCUGUAACCAGGUAAAUGGAUAAAGAAAAUGUGGUACAUCCAUAGAAGAGAAUAUGACUCAGCAAUAAAAAGGAACAGACGCUACUGAUACAUGGAAUGGCAUGGAUGUAUUUCAAAUGCAUUAUGCUCAAUGAAAGAAGUCAGAUUCAAAAGAUUGUAUACUGUGUGGUUCCAUUUAUGUGACAUCUGGAAAUGGCAAAACUAUAGGGACAGAAAUUAUAUUAGUAGUUGCAGAUCCUGGAGAUAGCAGGGUAGGAUGACUACACAGAGGUAUGAGGGAAUUUUGUGAGUAUAUUGAGUAUUUUGAAUUUGGUCAUGGUUUCACAACGGUAUACAUUUGUCAAAACUCAGAAGCAUCCAAUAAAAAUCAUGAAUUUUACUGUAUAUAAAUUAUACAUCAAAUGUUAUGAUUAAAACACACAGAGACACACACAGACACAUACAUACACACAGAGUUGGAGACCACUGUUUGAGAAUGGUGAGACUAAGUAGGGAUCAAAUCAGGAAAUGUCUGUUACUUGUUAUAGUGCCACACUGGAAGCUUAUAAGGCACCAGAGAGUGCCCAAGUUAAUCUUCUCUAGCUGUUUCAUUUUCUGGGGACUCUCAGCUCUCCUCUAUUUGAGACAAGUGGGACAUUGUCAUGACCAAGCUGCAAGUCCCAUGACCAACAUACUUGAAAGGCUUGGGUAGGAAUUGUACCUCAGUUGUACUUCUUUCUCAUCAGUGGAACACAUUGGCAAUACCUGAUAUUUAUAGAAAAGCUACAUUUACUAUGUAAAAAAUAGCAUCUUUAUGGGGUGCUUGGGUGGCUCAGUUGGUUAAGUGUCUAACUUCGGUAUGACCUCACGGUUUGUGGGUUCCAGCUCCGCAUCAGGCUCUGUGCUAACAGCUCAGAGCCUGGAGCCUGUUUCCGAUUAUGUGUCUCCCUCUCUCCCAGCCCCUCCCCUGCUUGUGCUCUAUUUCUCAAAAAUAAACAUCAAAAAUAAGUAAGUAAGUAAGUAGGUAAAAUAGCAUCUUUAUCCACUGCCAGAAGGACUGCAUAAUGAAAACAAGUAUCUUCAGUUGAAAUUUGUUGGGUAUUCCAGCAAUAACUAGCAUUGGGCUUCACAAUUUCAAUGUUUAAUGGAAAGUUCUUUAACACGGAAAAGGGAAGUGAUUAAUGCAAAAUUUAAAAUAAAUUUGAUUUACCUGAGAUGAGAAAAUGGUAUUUUAAGAUUAUCUUGAAAUAAUUAUGAUUUUGAAUAUUUUAAGUGUUCUUUUUUUGGAAAUUUCCAAAUUUCAGUAAUAGACUACUAUACAAUGGACUCUGAAUUUCAGCAGACUUACUAAAAUAUAACAAAGGAUUUUCCUCUCAAUUUCUUAACAAUGAACAACUUCAUAACAUAAGAUCAAGUUUUCCAAAGAAGCUGUUAAGGCAGGGACCAUGAAGUUAUGUGCAUAUGUGUGCACACGUACACACACACACACACAAUUUAAAUAUCGCUUGCUAUCACAAGGCAAAUUAGUGAAACUUUUCAGCUUUAUGUUAGUCUAUUUAUACUUUUACAAGUAUAAUAAAAAUAACAAUAUUUGUUUAUUUUAAAGUUCAAGAAAAGCUGAAAAAAAGACCAAUUAAAUAAUUAAAUUCUUUGGUAAAAUUCUUAGAUUAAAACUAAAUGGUCCAUCAGUUUAGAUUCAGUUUAGAGAAUAGCUUGAUGUUUCAGAUUUCCUUUGGUUCAGGAGUUGUAAGUUUUGUUUAUUUCAGACUGUGACUUUAACAUUUCAGUUCAUGGGUUGAUUCAAAAAACUUAAAUAUUCAGUUUCAUUUUGAUUCAGUGUUCAUAGCUUGCACUUACUUGAGGCUCAUUGUUUGAUUCAAUCUGAGCUCACACUUGUGCAGAUUUUCUCAAAUAAUGCCUUUAUUGAGUUUGAGGUCUAUGGUCAAAGAGGUCCAUAAAUGUUUACUGAACCUAUUGGAAAUCACUUUACUAUUCUGAGAACUUAUUAUGUAGAAAUGGUUUACUGGUAAGCCAUAUUACCUCUAUUACUUGUAAUUUGGAGGUGAACUCAUUAUCAUGAGAAGAUCAUAGAAACAUUUCCAAAACAGGAUAGAUAAAAGAACGCUAAAACAAAACAAAACUAAAAACAAAACAAACCAAAAACAAAAAGUACCCAACUCGGCAGCAGAUGUUUCAAAAUGAGGAGUUCAUGAAAGAAAGGGAGCAAAGUGUGAAGGAUACGAAGUGAGGAAUAGCCUGCCUAAAAUAAUUCAAAACAUUUAUAUGUUGGAAAAUAAGUAGAUCAAAAUUAAUUAGAAAUCACUGAACCUACCUGAGCAAGAGGCUUAUUCUCAAAUAGUGCUUCAUGUUGAAAGAACUUGUCCAGCCCGUGCUCCUUGGUAAUAUGUUCAGAUUCAUCCGAGAAGAGGACGGCAUCCCCAUCAAAGGCCACGCGGAGCUGUGUGUCACAGUAAGCCAUGUCUUUGGCUCCAUCAAACAUAGUUGCAGAGGCGAUCCCUGGCAGACCAUGGAGAUUUAUUAAUAGUCUUCCCAGAAGCGUCAGUUUCUUCUACCAUUUAAAUGAUUAAAAAAAGAAAAAAACCUUUGCAGUAUUUUUUUUUCAAGCUAUUACCUGAUGAUUCAACUGCUCUUUAUAACCAUGCAUCCCCAAACUAUUGUUUACACACUGCCUCCAUUUCUAUAAGGGAUGGGAAAGUGUAAAAGCAGUUGUAGGACAAUCACUGAGGAUGUCCACCUCUAGAAGGUCAGAGCUCUAAAAGACAGCCUUAGGGGCUGCCACUCGUUGGAAACGCCUUACCAGAAAAUUUAACAAACCACAUAAUCAUAUAUGAAGCCCAAUGAAAGUCAACACUAGCGCAAACCUUCGAUAAAACCAAAUGAAUACCUUCUUGUAUGGCUUCUUGUACUUUUUCAGAAUCUGCCGAAAGAUAUAAGUUGGUAAGAUAUGCCUUCAAAUAGCCAAUGGGGCUUUUUCCACCAGUCAGACAGAAGCGGUCAAUUAAUAAGCCUAUUAUUGGGCAAGAAAGACUUUGUUAUGUCAGAGACUAAAGACAAUCUACCUACUAUAAAUGUAAAUCAAAGUUAUCAUAGGAAUAAUUGAGUGUCUAUUGAAGUUUUAAAAUUCAUAGCACUAAUACUGAAAAACUGCUAUAUUACAUUUAAAAAGCUAUUUUAUAUAAUAGUGGAUGGGUUUGGUACAUGAUAAUUCGUUAAGUAUGUCCACGUAGACCAUGCCAAUUUACCCUCACAACAACUGUAUGACAGGCAUUAUUCUCAUUGUGACACAAAAGGAAACCGAGACAUAAAGACUUGUCUAAGCCCAUUGGUUCAUAAGGACUCUUGUCUAGACUAGAGCAUAGUUCUUUUCCUUCAACCACAGGCUCUUCACUUGUUGAAAGAGAUAGUUAAUGUGUGACUCUAUUUUAAGUACCAUUUCUGUAUUUCUUCAGUAACAGUACAAUAGUAAUGACAAGCAGUGCCAGGAUUUAAACUGUUUUCUAAAAACAACAACAAAAGGUCUGAAAGUGUCUCCUUCUUCACUUGGAAUUUUAAAUGUAAUUAUUUAGCAGACUAAAUAUUAAAAUACCACUAAAUGUCUUUCAAAUCAACAACAAUUAAAAAGCAAACGCUAGAUGUUGGUGAAAGUUUUGUAAAACAGGUACCCAUAUUCACUUUAGAUGAGGGUAUAAACUGCUAUAAGCUAUCUAGAAAGUAACCUGACAAUAUGUCUCAAGAGCUUUUAUUAGUUUAUAGCUUUUGACCUUUUCAUAGUUUAUUCUAAGGGAAUAAUCUGAGGCUCUGAUAAAGAUUUAUGUGGAAAGGUCUCAGCUCAGGAUUAUUUAUAAAAGCAGAACACCGUUUAAUGAUAUGAGAAUAGCUGAAUAAAGUAUAACAUUAUGCAUAUGAGAUAGUACAUACCCAUUCAAAGUAUUUUUUAGGUACAUGAUGAAUGGGUACCUGCAUGUACAAAACAGACUUUUGGGUCUAGUCGUUGUGUUUCAUCUGUAUGGACCAACAGAGUAGAUAGAGUCCAUUGACAGUUGAGGCAGAAGUGUUUGCUACUGUAUGAACAAAAUACUCUUGUUUUUCACUUAAGCCAACAUUGGGCAUAAGUGGCACCGAAGUAUACUCUACAAUCCCUUAAAUAAUAUUAAUUUAAAGGUCAGAAAUUAUUUGGUGGCAUGGGGGACUUCAGAAAUGAUUAAAACACCAUCCCAAUUCGCAAGUAAAUCAUAGUUCCCUGAGCAGCCAGGCACGUAAAACAGAUAAUUGUAAUCUAACAGGCCAUACGUAGCAGAAGGAGACACAGAUUGCAUUCAAUACUCCGAGAAGAGAAAUGAUGCUUCCAGGUGAAAGGUUGUUAUUUCAUGAGUAAGGCUGUGUGAAGAGAUGGAGCUCAGUCAGUUCAUUAGCAGAACUGUUAGGUCAAUAACCAUGAUUCCUUAUGCUACUAGCCAUGAUGGACCCAGUUUGGCAAGGGUCAAGAGACCUAAAUCACCUACUAAAUCAAAUAAAGUUGCUGUAAAGUUAAUAGCUGCCAUAACUGAGUGAUUAUGCUGCUCAUCUAUACCAAACCUUUUAUAUACGUUCUCUUUUCAUGUCAUAACACUAUGAAAGCUCCUUUUUUGAAAGGCUAACAUUUUUUAAAGUACGUCUCAGACAUCAGCCUUAUAAUUAGGAUAAUGUAAAACUCAUAAUUUGUAAAAUACAUCUUGAUUAUUUAUAAGUAUGCCCACUUUAAACCCACUUUAAACCUUGAAUAUACCAAAGUUCAACCUUACUCUGACUUCACAUACCCAUAAGACUGGAUAUGUCACUUAAAGAUAGGCUAAAGGUCCUCAGAUAACCAGUCAGGUAAUUCCAUAACAGGAAAAUGAGGAUUUUUCUCUUAAAGUAUCCAACACAUUGAUGGAAAUGCUAUGAGAAGACUAGAGUCAAUCCAAAUUUCCAUGUAAAGGAACAAAGACAUUUUUGCUGGCAUGGAUCUGAUGUGCAGGGAAAGCAGUCAAGGAGAAUUGAAUUGUUAAGAGUCGAAAGGAAAGGGGAAAACCUGUAAACCUUAGACAUGGAUCUGUGGUGAACAAGAAGUGUGAUCACCCAGAGAAAGCCUCUGGGUUGAUGGCUCCUUGAAGUCAAGUUCAGAAGUGAAAAACAUAAAACAGAGAAAUAUAUCGCAGGAGCUGGGAUUAAGUCUUUGAAAUUCACACUUGACAAGUUAAGUCCGGAGCUUUGGGCCCAACUCUGCUGAAGUUAAAAAUGAACAUGGCCUCUCUUUUUCUGACAUAGGCAAAUAAACAUUCCUCACGCAGAAGGGGGUGUCAGUAUCAAAGACGUUGCAUUGGUUAGGCCACAGUUAGCAAAAUGACAUGGCUUCUCCCUUCCAGAGCAGCUAGCUGUUCUUCCACAUGUUGUUUAUUUUACUUACCAUAGUGAUUGACGCUGUUUAUAAGCCGCACUCCCACUUGGGCAUGGUUAUUAGUCAUCAGUACAAUAUCAAAUAAGUCCUGUUCAUUAGGAUACAGGUCACGGAGUCUAGCAUUGACAUGCUGCAGUGCCUGCAGGUUACAAACAUGAAUGCAUGUAAAGAGGGCCAGGCAAGGUGGGCAUUGGAGUCUGGAGUCUGGAGAGAAAGGAUAGCAUCAGUGUCAAAUUCAAGCUCUGAAGACUCUUCACUGAGAGAUUAUGGCUCCGUUAAGGCAGGGUUAUGUCAUUCAUUCCUGUAUUUCCAGCCUCUGCUACACAGGACAUCAGUUAAUGUUUGCUGAGUAGAUAGGGAAAAUUUGUUGAAAACCGUUACAUUUGAUUUCUUAGAAUUAUCUCUGUGGGGUAGGUAGAGGGAAGGAUCAGGUUAACUCUUUUAUGCUUUGUCUAUUUUUUUUUUUUUUUUAGAUUCAUAAAAUCUGCUUUUCUGGAUCAUCUGGUGAUUAUUUUUUAUUGUGAAAAUAUAGAAUGCUUCAUGAAUUUGCAGGUUACCCUUGCACAAGAGCCAUGUUAAUGGUUUCUGUAUUGUUCGAAUUUUAGGAUAUGUGCUACCAAAGCACUUUGUCUAUUUUUCAAACAUGAGUCUUUAAAAUAGGUUAGUGGUUUUCUCUGAUGCAUCUACCACGCCCCACAAAUACCUUCUACUCACAACUUGUGGAGAUGUCGUUUAUUUGUCUGGUUAUAAUGUUAUGGUGUAAUAUUUGUAUAAGUUAUAUAGGGGAUCACAAGUGCUAUACAUUUCAGUGUGAGUUCAGAGAACUAUACUUUCUCUAUUAAAAUCAUGCCUCUAAGCACCAACCAAGAUCAUCUCGAUAUUGUGUUUGGGACAGCUAAACUGAAUUUCAUUUUGUUUCUAAUGCUGGGAUUGUAACUCAUUAUCAUUUCCGGUUACCACUCCUUCUAGGAAGGGAACAAAUGUGUCUCUUACACAUGUCAUCAUUAGAACUCGGCUGAGGGCCAUCUCAGCAUCCCAAAUCUAGAACUGGAGACCCUUUCUCACCAGUCUAGGAGCCUCUGUGAAAGCAUAAGUUGACCUGAGGUUAACUUGAAAAGGGCAAGAAUUACAAAGGUAGACCAGUAAUUAUAAAGAAACCUCGAUGAGUUCCCAAGGACCUGCCUGGGUCCUUCCGUCUCCUGUCAGGGUUCUGACAGGAGGAGCACAGCUUUGGAGAGUACCUUGACAAAGCGGAAUGCAGGCCCUGGGGUCAGGAUGACAUUCUCAUUGGUGAGCUGAUAUUCCAUGUACUUUUCUAGACCCUCUUCCUCAAAGAUUUUCCUGCCGUCCACCAUGUUGAAAAGUGCCCGGGAUGACACAGCGAUGGUGAUGGCAUGCUUGGGUUUGGGCUGCAUAAAAGGGGUGCCAAUGCGAGGACAGUCACACAGAAGGAAGGGAUCAGCAAAGGGGCUCAUACCAGGGCAAGGUGGAAAGGUGGAAAGAAAACACCUAGGCGUCCGCUUGGAGCACUGAGAUGCUGGAGACAGUAAAGGGCUGAGAUUCCACAAUCCAACACCCGCCCCCCCUCCAACUCCUGAACCUACAGGGGUGGGGGUUUAGGGGGAGGAGAAGCAGGAGGCUGGGCAGGUCUUCCCUACACAUUGGAGAGGAGGAAGGCUGAGGGAGAUUCAGGCUGUAGGGUUGCAGAGAGGGGGAGUCCCGGGUCCCAGGUCGGUGGGCCACACUCACCGGUCGGGGGCGAGAGCAGCUGGGGGUCUUCUCAUACAGAGUUCUCACGGAUGCCCAAUAGGCCUCAUCAUCUUCCUCCUCUUCCUCCAGCUGCUGCUGCCGGGGCAGUUCUGACAGGCAGUCGCGGUGCAGCUGGGUGGAGUAGGUCGUCCUGCGCUGGGCAUAGGACUUCCAUUCCGUGGGGGGCGUGCGAGGAGGGUAUUCCCGUAGCUGCAUGGAGUCCCGAGCGAUGCCAUGAGCCCAGGCUUCUGGAUUCUCCUGCAUCUUGCUGCUGCGCCGCGACUGGGAAUAGGACUCCGGGGGAGUGGGAGGGUUCGAGUCGAGAGGCAUGGGUGGCGUGGGCGGCGAGGGCUGCGCCGACAGCUCUUUCUGGGAGUCUUGCUGGCUGGGGGAGGUGGAUGAAGUCCGGGAGGUUGUGGAGCUAGCGGGGAGCUGGAGGGAGAAAGUGGGAGUCUGAAUUAGAUGCUCGCCUUUCCCCCUAUCUCUGCCUAGCAGGAGUAAAGGACCCUUGCCCUUCCCUUUGUUACAUUUUUAGCCCUCAGUUGGAUCCCGGUCAUCCCAGCUCCUUUAAGUAGGGCUUGGAGGGGCUCACAUGUUUCAACAACCCAGUUAUUAGGUAUUUCUGUUAAACAGACACAGAGACAGACUGCUUUUAUUUUCCCCUCCUUCCUCCCCCCACCUCCCCCAUCCCAUCAGCACCUCACACUGUUUUUUGUUUGUUUUGUUUUAUUUUAGUUUGGAGUAGAUAUUACAGGUCUUCUUGCCCUUAGGCAGCUGGCACAUAGCUCCAAAGUUCUGUGGCUUGCUUUCAUUUUAACUGCUCAUUCAGAGACCUCCAGGUAGGAUGGAGGGCUUGAGUAAGGGACCUUGCUCACCACUGCCUUCAUCUGUGACCUCCAGUUCACUAUGAGCGACUAGACCAGAUGCUCCCACCAGCAGACUCUACAAAACAUCUGGAGGCAUCUCUCUCUCUAUUUGCCGUGUGAUUAAUGCAGCAAUUGCUGGGAGGGUUGGUAGUCUAGAGAACCAAGGGUCUCCCUGUUGCCUUCAGAACUUUGUGCCAGUGGAGCUCAUUUGGAGAGAAUCAUCUAAUUAGAAAGGAAGUAUACCUGUGCAGUAAAUUAUUAAGCACCCAUAUCUUAUUUCAAUUUUUAUGAUUGUUUCAUGUGUUUCAAAAGACAUUCUUGGUUAGAUUAUUGAGCCACUUUUCAAACAGGAAUAGAUGGAUUGUAGGGAUUUGUAGGGAUACAUAUUCUCCAUCUAGGUCUGUGUCACUCUCUCUGUACUCAAAAACUCAAUCUCAAAACUAAUGUUUUCUUCUCAUGGGACAAGGCUUCCAUAAGGGCCCAAAGCACCACACAAUCUAACACUUUUCAACAACUUAUUUCCUUUGUUGAUUUUUCCACCCCAUCUUCUAAGGCUUCGGUACUCAGUUAUUGAAGGAAGGAAAGAUGGAAGGAGAAGUCAAAGAGCGUAAUCAUUAAGUGUACAGUUUAUAGACCUGGUAACCCUGGGUUUUAAUCUAGCUCUAUUAGUGUUAUUAAUGUGAGAUCUUAGGCAAGUUACUCUGUGUUUCAAUUUUCUCCACCAUAAAAUAGGGCUUAUAGGUUUGUUUGGUUUUUUUUAAUGAUGACUGAAUUCGCUAAAACAUGUAAAAUGAAUAGAAUAGGGUCUGGCACAUAGAAAGCAUCAAUAAAAAAUUAUUAUCGUCAUCAUCAUCAUCAUCAUCGCCAUUAUCAUUAUUAUAUCAUGUUCCCUUCAUUUCAUCUCCAUCUCUACCUUAAGACUGGCACUCUUGCUUCUGGUUUCGUCUACUGAUGGAGCUCUGGUGGAUGGGCUCCGUGAAGUUCGUGACCACUGAUUUCGCACAACGUACCCCCGAGAAUCAGUCUUCGGCAAUGGUGAUUCUUGUGAUUCCUUUGGAGGAGAGAAGAGACCCAGGAGUAUGAUGCCCCAUCACCCACUCCUGCCAUGCAUGUACCUACAGAACAGCCAUGUCAAGCUAAAUAUAGCAGAGUCCAGUGAGAAGGUCCCUGGCCUAUAUGAUUCAUUCAACCUUGAUCCUUAUGUACUAUUCUAGCUCUGGCCCAAUCCUAAACUCUGUGAGGGACAAACAGUGGGGAUCCACCUGGAGGAGAAUCCAAAACUAAGAAACAAAUCUGAUGUCUCCUAUUUUUUUCACCUGUGACUCCUCUUAUAUGGAACAUAGUAGAGUUGACCAUUUUUCCUCCCUUUUCCCCACUUGUUCCCUUAAGGUAAGCCUGUUAGCUGAAACUAAGAAGAUGUGAUUUACCAUUUUUGACCCUACUACAAAGAUGAGGGCAGGUGCCCCCUAAAUGGGGCUGCAGCAUGGCUCCAAAGCAGCUACCGAAGAGGGAAUAGAGCACUGUGGCAUUUCCUUUGGGAGGAGUAAGAAUGGAGGACACCAUGGAGAGGCAAGCGGAAGAGUUUUUAUUCCCCAUAUCCUGCCCCUCACCCAGACUGCCUGUGGCUCCCCUUCGAAAUCAGUUGUUUGAUCUCUGCUCACCCUGAUCAUGGUGAUCUGCCGGCCCUGCUCCCACAAGAGGCACAUGUGAAUAUAAACACGUAUUGUGCGGCAGGGGCCAAGAAGUACUGUUCCCUCCGCUGCACAAAGGCAGCGUCUACACGACGAGUGACCUCGCAUGGGGCAACAUCUCAGCAAGUGAUUCGGAUUGACUGCACGCCUCAUCUGAAAGAUUGUGCAGAAAAUGGUCAAUGCGAUGGCCAGACUCCCCUUCCCUCCCUGAUUUGAACAAUGACCAGUCUCCUCCCAUAGGCUGAGCAGAGAAUAUGGCUGUGGUUUCUACACCAUAUAUUCUAUAUGAACAUGGGGAUGUGUACUGGUGGGGAAGGCAGGGACCAGCUUCUCCUAGUCUGUCCUUAAUCUCUCAUGAGAACAUUAGGUUUCCCUUAGUAGAAAUCUCGGCAGCUCAGUCUUCUCUCCCAGAACUCCCUGCUGCCUUACAUUUUCUGUUAUGCUUUCUACUCUAUAAUUCACUCAUCAUAUCUAAAGAGGUCAGCUCACCUGCGUGCUCAGACGAACUCCUGAUUUCUCAGAAUCCUUUCUUUUCUCUGUGUCUAUGCUGUCUUUUGAGUUCUUCGAUCCAGUAUCAUUCUUAAUAUGAAAACAAAGUGUAUUUAUUAAUUUUUUAAUCCUAGGGGCAUUAGAAACCUUGGGUUUAGGAAUGGGAGGAUAAAUAAAAAUUAGAAUGUGUCUCUUUCCCAAUUUAAAAGUAUAUAUAAAUUUUAGACAUUUUCCCUCUGUUAUAACAGGCAUGGGUAAAAAUAACACCUAUCAGAGAACUAUAUAAACAAUUUUUUAAUUUAGAAAUUUGUUGGCUUAUAUAUUGAGGCACGAGGUAUUUAUCAUUUAAAAAAUGAUAACAAGGGAAAUGCUAUGGCAGAAUUUUCUAGGGCUCAGCCAGACUUAAAUUUAAUGUGAAAUUGCUCACACAGAAUAAUUUUUUUUCUCUCCAUUCCUCUGAAGAUUGCUGCAUGAGGAACUUUUCCUUUUGCCACGUAGAAUUAAAACUUCUCUUGUUUGUUUUCUUAACAAACCAGAACUCCAAUCUUCUGUGCAUCUAAGCCUCACCAAUAUUAGCUUGAUUUUUAAAAUCAAGGUUCUUAAUCCCAUGCAGAUCUAAUGACCGACCUGUCUUCAGUACAUAUUUUCUAAUUACUCAUACCAGCUACAGUGAAAGGAUGGACAUUUCUUAAUUAACAAACUUGUAGGGAAGUCUGUGUAGGAGAGCACAGGGAGAUAAUUCAUGUCAUGGACAGCUAGUCAAAUAUUUUCAUUUUCAAUUGCGGAACAUACCAUUGUGUGUGUUUGUAUUGUUUCAUACUAAUUCGGCAGCUGUAAUGCAAUCAAGAUUAGCAUUAUUUCUGUUUUAAGAGCUCAUCUUCUAGCUUAGACCACGGUGCUCAGGCGCAGUCUAGGCAUAAAGCUCUUUGUGCAUCUGUGUUAGUUGAAUGAUGGAGACUGUGACUGCAGAGAAUGGCAGAGCUGUGUGGUCCUAGAACUGAUCUUAAAAUCCUCCUAGCCAUUCUCCACACCACCACCCUAAAAUCCCGUCAAAAGAUAUUUUAAACCCAAUCCUUCGUCUCUAUCCCUAGUAUCAUUGCCUUGUUCCAGAUCUCAGAUCGGUAUAGGACUGCAUUCUCAGAAUUAUAGACUUUUGGUCAGGUUUCAUAACUUUAAAUCCUCCCAACUUCUAGAUCUACCCCAUCAAUUUAAAGUGACCUUUAUCAAACAUAAAUCUAAUUAUGCUUCAUUUCCAGGUACACCCUUCAUUUACUUGGUUUUACAGACCAGGAGCCUCAUGGUGCAUCCUGUCCGCCUCCAACUCGCCCUCCACCGUACACUUUUAUCUCUGUGUUUGCUUGUGCUAAAUGACUUGCAUUUGCCUCCAUAUCACCCUGUUUCCUUGUAACCUCCUCUUCUCUUUAAUGUUCUUCAAAACCCAGCUCAGCAUGACCUGGGAGAAGUUCCCAGAGUUAAACAUUCUUUUAUGUUGCCUGUGUCUUUUAUACAUAUUUUCACUGAGCACUGAAUUGUAUUUUGUUUAUAUAUUCUCUUUCCUACUAGGCUGUGCAUUCUUCACAGAUAGCAACAGUGUUUCCACCUCUUGCCACUGACAUAGGAGCGUCAGCCCAAUAAAGGCUAAAUAAUUCAAUUGAUUGCUACUGUAUGCUCUAAUCUCAUUCUUCUCCAUUCUUCAUUUCCUUUAUUUUCCUUCCCUUUUCUCCACAUGCAGUCAUUAUCUGAAAUGAUUUAAUUGUUGCAGAACAUUCCCAGAGGUAAUGCUAUCUACAUUUGUUGAUAUCUACAUUUCCUUAGCUUUUUGGCAAGAUUCUAGGACAUUCAACUCACUCACCUUCUUUUUCUGUUUCAGAGAUGUUUGACUCAUUUCUUUUAACUGGAAUUUCUUUUGUUGUUACGCAGGUUUUCCUCUCCCCAGCUCCAUUUCCUGUUGUUUCUGUUGCUCUGCCUAGGUUUGCGCUUAGAAUGUCAAAUUUAUGACAUCAUAUGUGAUUCCAUAGUAACAAACUGACUCUAUAUAUAUGACUAUAAAAAAAGCAAUAGUAUUUCUUCAAAUUUGAGUACAUCUACUCAUAACCAUUCUUAAGAGUUUUUAGGAAGUGAUGUCUAAACAAUGUUAAAAUGUUUUAUACGUAGCAAUAUCAAUAUUACUGCUUCCUUCUUUUUAAACAUUACUAUAUUACUCAUCAGGUAAACCCCACUGUGGAUGUACAUUUUCUGGUACUGCAAAAUUGAAUGGCAAACUCACUUGUGGCCCCGAUCAUUUAUUAUUGUUUACCCCAAAAGAUUUUGGAGAACUUUAUGCAAUCUGGAGAUGGUUUUUGACAGCUGAGAUUUUGUUCUCAUGGAGAACAAUGGAGUCUAGAUCUGUUUUUAGUUUCAUGUUGGGUGUUUCUUUCACAAUGGCAAGGUCAUUUCCAUUUUACAAAGUCAAAGCACCUUCCCUUGGACCAGACAGUGUAGGAGAAUGAUACCUGCACUGUCGUUUUGCUAUUUGCCCCAUCCUCGAAACUUUAAGCACGUAUUUGUCCCUCUUGUGUACAUACAGAAAAUAUACAAUCCAGUCCCCAGCUCUGGUUUACAGGGUCUGCUAAUGUAAUGCAUUUAAUGGUUCUGGUUUUAUCUUCAACCAGGCUCUAGGAAAGAGACUCACACACCAGCCUGAGCUGGUCAAACCAGCAAGGACUAAGGCAGAUUUCUUCCUCUCUUAAUUGGAGUUAAUAAUUUAAUUUGAAUAUCAGAGGAAGUUUUUGAAAGCUUUAAUCAAAGUUCUCCAAGGAGUCUUCUAGAUAGUAAAAUACAUUGGCUCACGCUUAGAGGUCCUCGGUUUGAAUUCUUUCCCCACUGUCACCCUGUACCUCACCCCCACCCAGUAUCUCUCUGAGAUUUUGAACAAGUGGUUUAAUCUUCCUAAAUCUCAACUUCCUUAUUUGUAAAAUGGAGAAAAUGAUGGUAUCAACAUCAAAAUGCACACAAUGAUAGUAAUUGUGAUAGUUGAAAUAGUGUGAAGUACUUAAGACAGUUCUUGGCAUUUAUAAGUGAUUAAUAAAUGUUAGCUAUUACUGUGUUAUUCAUAAUUAUGCUAUAGCUAUACUAGAGAGUUCAAACAGAAAAUCUCUAAUCUCCAAUGCAAUCUGGUUGUAGGAACAGAAGUUUAAAAAUACCUAUUGUUCAUAUACAUGUAUAAUCAAUCAAAUAUCAGUUUGGUGGUUCUUCCCGUAUCCUAGACUCUCUAGCCCCACUGGUGAGACAGAGCAAGGAGGGCAGGCUGGGAGGGAGCAGUUGUUAAAGCAGCAGGAGCAAAAGCUGGAGCGCUCUGAGACUUGCUUUCUAUAACACACAGGAGGAAGAUUUUGCAGAGAUGAAGGAUUGAAGAGUCUGGUUUCUGACUGGUUCUUGUAGCCAGGAUCAGCCUUUGCUUCUUGUCCUUUCCAUGACUCUUCCAUGUAAAUCAGCAUCCAUAUGUUCAAUAAGUUCCUUGAUUAUUGCUCCUUUCCCGUAGCACACAGCCUCGGAUAGACUAUGAACUUCAUGAGUGUUUUGAAUUUUUUUCUGUACCAAGAUUUAAAUACGUCAUUUUGUUGUGAGUGCUGAGGAUGAUGUUAAAGAAUUAUUCGUAUUUUUUCAGAUUUCCUCAUUUGUCUUUCUUUAUUAUCUGCUGAUUAUUAACUUUGUUAUUGAACACUGAAAACUACACAUACAUGUAGGCAGUUGUGCUAGUCAGGAUUCUCUAGAGAAACAGAACCAAUAGGAGAUAUAUAGAUAUAUAGGAAGACAUUUAUUGUGGGAACCAAAUCAUGUGACUGUGAAGGUUCUUCUGAUUGCCAUCUGCAAGCUGGAGAAUGAGGAAAGCCAGUGGUAUGAGUCAGUAUCAAUCUGAAGGCCUGGAAACUAGGGUAGCCAAUGGUGAACUCCCAAACCAAGGGCAAAGGCCAGAGAGCUUGAAAGACCCCUAGUUUAAGCUCUAGGGUCUGAAGGUCUCAGUAUCAGGAGCUCUGAUGUCGAAGGGCAGGAGGAAAAGGUAGAUGUUAUGGCUCAAGAAGAGAGAGAAUUCACCCUUUCUCCACCUUUUUUGUUCCCUUUGAACCUUUAAUGGGUUGGAUGAUGCUUGCCCACAUUGAUGAGGGUGGAUCUUCUUUGCUUAGUCUACUGAGUCACAUGCUAAUCUCUUCCAGAAACAUCCUCAUAUAUACACCCAAAAUCAUGUUUAACCUGCUAUCUGGGCAUUCCUUAGCCUAGUCCAGUUGUUACAUAAAAUUAACCAUCACAGCAGCAUAUUUCUUGUUUGUCUUGGGUUCAUUUCCCCAUGAAUUCAACCUUGGUAAUAAAGCCAAGAUACUACAAAGUUAUGACACUGUCAUGUACACUUUCCAGAUCAACCAAAAUCAUUUUCUAUAGUGAAAUUUUCAUUCUAGUUGUGGAUGAAAUUUUUUCAUUUAAAAGAGUUCCAUAAAAGGACUCUAAAAGACAUUUUAGAAUACCACAAAUGUGUAUAACUAGGCCUUUCCCAUCUAUUUUUGGCUAAUGAAUUUUGAUUCUUGCCAUGGUUAUCGACAGGAAUAUACCCAUUCCCUUGACAGAGCUAAGAGGAUUUUGCAUAGUCAUUUGUGGGACGUGACUCCUACUGGGUCAUCCUUCUGCUAUUUCUUAUUUUCUUGUGAAGCUGUGAUAUUAUGCAAAAAUUCUGGGGACACCAGGAGACUCUGCUUUCGCCAGGAGAUUUUCAUAACGUAGGAGGCAUAUUGCUUAAUACAACUAGGCACUAGUGUACUGGGAAGACUCCGAAGAAUCUUUUUUUUCACUAUGUCCAUCCAGGUCUAUUGAAAUAAAUAUGGUGGAAAGUGGCUCUAUUGCUCUCAUAGCUUUUCUUCUCUGAGUCUAAAGAUACACAAGUAACUAGCAUGUCAGAAUGUCAACAACAUUUAUUAAUAUUUUAAACUGUUUGUACAUAUGCAUAUAAAUAAGUUCAAAGAUAAUGAAAUUUAGUGAAAAUUAGAGAGUUCAAAGAAAAAAGGCACCUGUGAACUCAGUAUCCUAAGAUAGUCAUAAUUAUAUUCUUCCAAAAUUUUUUCACCCAUUUGUCUGACAUUUAAUUUUUCUUCCUUUGUAAAAUAUUAUUAGAAUUAUAUAGUGUAUACAGUUCAGUAUCUUGAUUUUUUUCUAUAUAAUAUUAAACACAGCUAUUUUCAUGAUAUUACUUGGUCUGAGUAAUCAUUAAUUUAAUGACUCCAUCUGCUCUACAGUGGGUCUGCUACCAUUUGCAUAAGUAUUUCCCUAUUAUUGAAUAUUUGGAGUAUCUCCAGUAUUUUGCUAUUAUGAAUAAUAUUUUCCUGAGUAUCUUCUUUCUCAGCUAACAUAAAGUUCUUAGUACAAAAUCUUUCUUUCCAUAGUGACUGGUACAUUCAGACAUGUAUUGGAUGGGCCCAUCAGAAUCCAAGUGCUCUUGAUGGAGUGUUACUUGUGUUCAAGAGGGCCACAUUGGGUUGGUUGGGGUUUAAGCAGAUGGCAUUUAUUUUGACCUGACUUUGUUUAUUGUCUCCUUUGGCCUCACUGUCCUGAAAAUUUUUCAUGAGCAGAGACCUGUAUACCUUGUCCACUGCUGUUUUCCUGGUGCCUAGAACAGUUACUAGGAGGUACCACAAUAAAUAUUUCUUAAAUAAAUACACCAUUCCCUUAAGAAAUGCAUAGCAGUAAUAAGCAGGAUACAGAGUGCUGUGAUAACAGUAGUGGUGAAGAUGAGAGGAGACCCACAAGUUCAGUGAGUAGGAAGAAGUACAAAAACACCUUAUUUUUUCCCUGUCUUUUUAAGUUCUUUUUCUAGAUAUCAGUGGUUCUCAAAAACAAACAUGCAUCAGAAUGACCUGGAUGGCUUAUUGAAACAAGACUGUAGUAGGUGAAUGGUUACACAAACGUCCAUACCAUGGAACGCUACUCAACAGUACAAAGAAAACAUUGAUUCUCACAACAACUAGGUGACUCUCCAGAGAAUUAUACUGAGUAAAAAAAGCCAGUCCCCCAAAGCUAUAUUUUGUUUGAUUCUAUUUAUAUAACAUUAUUGAGUGGCAAAAUUAUAGAAAUGGGGACAGUAGUGGCCAAGGUUUAAGAAGUACAUGAGGCCAAGAUGGAAGUGAAUGUGGCUAUAAAAGGGCAACAUGAGGGGUGCCUGGAUGGCUCAAGUGUCUGAUUUUGGCUCAGGUGAUGAUCUUGCGGUUUAUGGUUCAAGCCCUGUGUGGGGCUCUGUACUGACAGCUUGGACUAUGGAGCCAGCUUCAGAUUCUGUAUCUCCUUCUCUUUCUCUGCCCUCCCCCUGCUUAUUCUCUGUCUGUCUGUCUGUCUGUCUGUCUCUCUCUCUC